CCGCGUGCGGGAUGAAGGCCUUCGGGUUGUAAACCGCUUUCAGUAGGGAAGAAGCGAAAGUGACGGUACCUACAAAAGAAGCACCGGCUAACUAUGUGCCAGCAGCCGCGGUAAUACAUAGGGUGCAAGCGUUGUCCGGAAUUAUUGGGCGUAAAGAGCUCGUAGGUGGUUUAUCACGUCGGAUGUGAAAUUCUGAGGCUCAACCUCGGACCUGCAUUCGAUACGGGCAAACUAGAGUUUGGUAGGGGAGACUGGAAUUCCUGGUGUAGCGGUGGAACGCGCAGAUAUCA
rnacentral:rRNA from 1 species